UUGGCUUGCUUUCUCAGCACCAGCACUGUUCGGUCCAGGGUAGGAGCACCUUCACAGCGGUUUUAGCUGUCCGGGAGGCCCUGGAGCGGUGCAAGGCUGCUG